rnacentral:antisense_RNA from 1 species
AGUUUUGGGCGGUCGUGCGGGAAGCCUUCGGGCUCGCCGGUGCCAACUACCGGUCUUCCAACCUGCGCGAUCGCCCUCCCGU